rnacentral:rRNA from 1 species
UACGUAGGGACCGAGCGUUGUCCGGAAUCAUUGGGCGUAAAGAGCGUGUAGGCGGCUCGCUAAGUCUUGCGUGAAAUCUCGGGGCUCAACCCCGAGCGGUCGUGAGAAACUGGCGGGCUUGAGUGUGGCAGAGGGGGGUGGAAUUCCACGUGUAGCAGUGAAAUGCGCAGAUAUCAGGAGGAACACCAAUGGCGAAGGCAGCUCGCUGGGACGGUACUGACGCUGAGGCGCGAAAGCGUGGGGAGCAAACAGG